rnacentral:rRNA from 1 species
AUGGCGUCAGGACGAACGCUGGCGGCGUGCUUAACACAUGCAAGUUGAACGGUAUGACAUGGAAGCUUGCUGAAGUGUCAUAUAGUAGCGGACGGGUGAGUAAUGCAUGAGAAGCUGCCAUUGGAGGGGGGCAACAGUUGGAAACGGCUGCUAAUACCCCGUAUACCGGAGGGUGAAAGGGAGUAAUCCGCCCGAUGAGGUGCUCAUGUCCUAUCAGCUGGUUGGUGGGGUAACGGCCUACCAAGGCGACGACGGGUAGCCGGCCUGAGAGGGUGAACGGCCACACUGGAACUGAGAUACGGUCCAGACUCCUACGGGAGGCGGCAGUGGGGAAUAUUGGGCCAAUGGGGGCAACCCUGACCCAGCGACGCCGCGUGGGGGAAGACGGCCUUCGGGUUGUAAACCUCUUUUGUACGGGAAGAAGGAAGUGACGGUACUGUACGAAUAAGUCCCGGCUAACUACGUGCCAGCCGCGGC